UUGAUACCAGUACUGGUUCAUCACAAUCCACAGAAGGGCAGCUCCAAUUCUUCACAUCCCGUAAAGAUAUGAGUGGGGCUAUAUGUGGCCAGCAUGCAUCUCAAAGUUCACGGAACUUCUGGAAUUCAGACACGUUCUUACCAAAAAUGUGCUGUUGUUGACUUCCUUGAUGACUUUAAUUGCAGGACAGAAGGCCUUCAACAUUUUAAAUAGCUGGCAGAAGGAUCUGUUCCCAAGCCUUUCCCUCUAGCUAAACCUGUGAUGUGUCGACCGAGUCUCCAGGACACAGACAGUACUGUACUUUUGACCUUUUACCAUAUUUUUCUGCAGAAUGAGCUGGAUUUUGCUUCUUGGCAAAAUAACUGUGGAAAGCUGGAAAAUCCAAAUGAGCUGAUACAUCUUUUGUUAGAGCUGGUUUAUUACCAAGCAUUCUCUUUUUUUUUUUUUUUUUUUUUGACAUUUUUAAUGCUGGCACAAUUGUAUAUUGUUUCUGUUUGUUUUUUUUUUUAUGGUAAAGUCAUCAAAUAGUACAGCUUUUUAUAUCUUGAUUUAGAAUUCAUUCCAAAAUAUUGUAGUGAAGGAGAUGAUACUUCACAUUUCACACAUUUUGCUUUUUUUUUUUUUAACGUGGAAUUAUAAAUAUUUGGGAAAAUCGAUUUUUUUUUCAACUAACAAUGUGAGUUAUAGGAACUGAUAAAUGUGAGAUUAAUGGCUAAGAAAGCAGUCAUUUCAGAUGGAUAAUUUAGAUUUUUAUCAUUUAUUAAUCAUAAAAAGUAAACCUGCUGUAUAACUAAUUUUAGUUUUAUCAAGAAGAUGAAUUGUUCCAGCUAAUGAAUGUAUAGAUAUUCUAUGCCAAAGGCAUUCGUAGGAAUCUGUUAAUCAUUUAACUGUGUCAUGGCAUAUGCUUUGUCUUCAUAAACCAAUUAAAACACAUAACUUCCUCCACUGAAA